rnacentral:rRNA from 1 species
CCUACGGGUCGCACCAGUGGGGAAUAUUGCACAAUGGGCGCAAGCCUGAUGCAGCCAUGCCGCGUGUAUGAAGAAGGCCUUCGGGUUGUAAAGUACUUUCAGCGGGGAGGAAGACGAUAAGGUUAAUAACCUUGUCGAUUGACGUUACCCGCAGAAGAAGCACCGGCUAACUCCGUGCCAGCAGCCGCGGUAAUACGGAGGGUGCAAGCGUUAAUCGGAAUUACUGGGCGUAAAGCGCACGCAGGCGGUCUGUCAAGUCGGAUGUGAAAUCCCCGGGCUCAACCUGGGAACUGCAUUCGAAACUGGCAGGCUAGAGUCUUGUAGAGGGGGGUAGAAUUCCAGGUGUAGCGGUGAAAUGCGUAGAGAUCUGGAGGAAUACCGGUGGCGAAGGCGGCCCCCUGGACAAAGACUGACGCUCAGGUGCGAAAGCGUGGGGAGCAAACAGGAUUAGA